CUAAAUUUAUUCCGUUAGUAUAGUUAUUGUUAGAAUUUCUUAUUCCGUCACAUUUUUCAUUUUGUCUCUCGUCAUUAUCAUCAAAUUAACAAUGGCACAUGCCCCAAAUGCACACGCAUGUAUAUUUAAGAAAAAAGAGGGAAAACGAUUCAUCCCGAAAGAGAAGAGUAUGAGCAUAUGUGUACGUUUUCCUACUGGCGCGUGUGUACGCAUGCGCUCGAAAUACGUAAACCGUAACCGAGACCUGAAAUGAAACGCAAGCGCACCAAUUAAUUUAACACGUAUAUACACUUGCAUACGGGCAAUAAAUACAGUGACACGUUACAUACAUAUUAUAGCACGCAUACGUACCGGCACGUCGAGUGCGCAAAACAAGUGCGCCGAUAUAACGCGACAUCACGCGCAUGCGCGUAAGCGUAUUGGAAUCCGUAUCAUCGUUAACUACACCGGGGUGCGUAUGCGUGCAAGUAUGUAUAACCUAUUAUUGGCUGUAUUCCUUUAAAACUUUCUUUCGGUCUUUUUUGUUUUUUCUUUCCUUCUAACGUACGUUCAAUUUCUUUCGGACUAAAUAUAAAUGCCUAACUUUUUAUAUUUAGCAUUCGAUAUACCGCAUGCUUCGCUAGACACAGCCAAGAAUUUGAAUUGUUUACAAAUACGUAAAAAGGUAAUAACGUCAUCGCUAAUAACCCCCUAAAGAAAGUCGUAGUUUAGAAAGAAUUAUAAUUGGCAUUAAUCGAAUCAAUUUGUAGACAUCGUUUAUACUAAGGAUAUACAAAAUAGGUUUUAUAAUUUUAUGAAAUACACUUUAACCUCGAAUAAUUAAUCUUAUGCGAAAGUAAACGAACAAAUUUUCACGAAAAUUAUGUUUGACAAGAGAAAUAAAUAUUAACGAGAUUACAUUGUGAUCUCGUGCGGUUUCAAAAGAACACAGGCAAUAAGUGCAAUAAAGUACAUACGCGUUUGUGUAAUGAACAAAAAUUAAGCAUGAAAGUAAUAGGGGGUAAUGGAAGAAAUAAAGGAGAACAACAAUUUAAAACAAUUAAAUGUACAGACGGAAUAUAGUAAAACGGAAAGAUAUAACAAAAACAAACGAUGUAGAAGACGAUAGAAAAUCAACGUUUAAUAAAUAAAACACCGAAGAAGAUAAAUCGAUGACUCUGAGCACGGAAUAUAAUUUUUCCGGAGA